UGAGAAGUUAAGUGACUUGUCCAGAGUCACGCAGCCAGGAUGGAUCAGAAUCAGGCCUGAAAACUACGUUGUUUUUUUUACUCCAAGGAUGGUUCUUCAUUUCCUAUGUCAUAUUGACCAUUCUCUUGCAUCAUCAUCAUCAUCAUCAUCAUCAAUUUACAUUUGCUGAACACUUUGCAGUUUAUACUUUCUGCAUGAUCACCCUGUGACAUAAAGAAUGCAGUCCCUAUCAUGGGCAUCUCCACCUACCUCCACCUAUUGAUUCGGACUGAUUUCCCCCCACUCUGAUAGCAGAACAUCCAGGCCUCUCAGAGCUUCUCCUACAGACUGUUCCAUGCUAGGAUGCUACACGAGAGAACUCCUUGUUCGGGUGGUGAAGAAAAACCCUGGAUGAUAACAAGUGAAAGUUUGACUUCUGAGGGCCAAAGACUAGAUAAGAUCACUUGCUAUAGUUAGUUGAGACCAGACU
rnacentral:lncRNA from 1 species